rnacentral:rRNA from 1 species
GGCCCGCACAAGCGGUGGAGUAUGUGGUUUAAUUCGACGCAACGCGCAGAACCUUACCCAGCCUUGACAUCCCUGGACAACCAUAGAGAUAUGGCUUUCUCUCGCAAGAGAGACCGGGUGACAGGUGCUGCAUGGCUGUCGUCAGCUCGUGUCGUGAGAUGUUCGGUUAAGUCCGGUAACGAGCGCAACCCCUGUCCUUAGUUGCCAUCAUUCAGUUGGGCACUCUAAGGAGACUCCCGGUGUUAAACCGGCGGAAGAUGGGGAUGACGUCAAGUCCUCAUGGCCCUUACGGCUGGGGCUACACACGUACUACAAUGGCAACUACAAAGAGCAGCAAAGUCGCGAGGCCAAGCAAAUCUCAAAAAAGUUGCCUCAGUUCGGAUUGGAGUCUGCAACUCGACUCCAUGAAGUUGGAAUCGCUAGUAAUCG